rnacentral:rRNA from 1 species
GACGUAGGGUGCAAGCGUUGUCCGGAUUUACUGGGCGUAAAGAGCGCGUAGGCGGCUCGUUGAGUGAGAAGUGAAAGCUCUUGGCUCAACCAAGAAACCGCUUUUCAUACUGGCGAGCUGGAGUGAUGCAGAGGUGGAUAGAAUUCCCGGUGUAGCGGUGAAAUGCGUUGAUAUCGGGAGGAAUACCCGUGGCGAAGGCGGUCCACUGGGCAUCAACUGACGCUGAGGCGCGAAAGCGUGGGUAGCAAACAGG